rnacentral:rRNA from 1 species
GCAAAGUCGAGCGGGCAUAGCAAUAUGUCAGCGGCAGACGGGUGAGUAACGCGUGGGAACGUACCUUUUGGUUCGGAACAACUGAGGGAAACUUCAGCUAAUACCGGAUAAGCCCUUACGGGGAAAGAUUUAUCGCCGAAAGAUCGGCCCGCGUCUGAUUAGCUAGUUGGUGAGGUAAUGGCUCACCAAGGCGACGAUCAGUAGCUGGUCUGAGAGGAUGAUCAGCCACAUUGGGACUGAGACACGGCCCAAACUCCUACGGGAGGCAGCAGUGGGGAAUAUUGGACAAUGGGCGCAAGCCUGAUCCAGCCAUGCCGCGUGAGUGAUGAAGGCCCUAGGGUUGUAAAGCUCUUUUGUGCGGGAAGAUAAUGACGGUACCGCAAGAAUAAGCCCCGGCUAACUUCGUGCCAGCAGCCGCGGUAAUACGAAGGGGGCUAGCGUUGCUCGGAAUCACUGGGCGUAAAGGGUGCGUAGGCGGGUCUUUAAGUCAGGGGUGAAAUCCUGGAGCUCAACUCCAGAACUGCCUUUGAUACUGAAGAUCUUGAGUUCGGGAGAGGUGAGUGGAACUGCGAGUGUAGAGGUGAAAUUCGUAGAUAUUCGCAAGAACACCAGUGGCGAAGGCGGCUCACUGGCCCGAUACUGACGCUGAGGCACGAAAGCGUGGGGAGCAAACAGGAUUAGAUACCCUGGUAGUCCACGCCGUAAACGAUGAAUGCCAGCCGUUAGUGGGUUUACUCACUAGUGGCGCAGCUAACGCUUUAAGCAUUCCGCCUGGGGAGUACGGUCGCAAGAUUAAAACUCAAAGGAAUUGACGGGGGGCCCGCACAAAGCGGUGGAGCAUGUGGUUUAAUUCGACGCAACGCGCAGAACCCUUACCAGCCCUUGACAUCCCGGUCGCGGGACUCCAGAGACGGAGUUUCUUCAGUUUCGGCUGGACCGGAGACAGGGUGCCUGCAUGGGCUGUCGUCAGCUCGUGUCGUGAGAUGUUGGGUUAAGUCCCGCAACGAGCGCAACCCCCGUCCUUAGUUGCUACCAUUUAGUUGAGCACUCUAAGGAGACUGCCGGUGAUAAGCCGCGAGGAAGGUGGGGAUGACGUCAAGUCCUCAUGGCCCUUACGGGCUGGGCUACACACGUGCUACAAUGGCGGUGACAAUGGGAUGCUAAGGGGCGACCCUUCGCAAAUCUCAAAAAGCCGUCUCAGUUCGGAUUGGGCUCUGCAACUCGAGCCCAUGAAGUUGGAAUCGCUAGUAAUCGUGGAUCAGCACGCCACGGUGAAUACGUUCCCGGGCCUUGUACACACCGCCCGUCACACCAUGGGAGUUGGUUUUACCUGAAGACGGUGCGCUAACCGAAAGGGGGCAGCCGGC